AGUGAACGCUGGCGGUAGGCCUAACACAUGCAAGUCGAACGGCAGCACAGUAAGAGCUUGCUCUUACGGGUGGCGAGUGGCGGACGGGUGAGGAAUACAUCGGAAUCUACUUUUUCGUGGGGGAUAACGUAGGGAAACUUACGCUAAUAUCGCAUACGACCUACGGGUGAAAGCAGGGGAUCUUCGGACCUUGCGCGAUUGAAUGAGCCGAUGUCGGAUUAGCUAGUUGGCGGGGUAAAGGCCCACCAAGGCGACGAUCCGUAGCUGGUCUGAGAGGAUGGUCGGCGACACUGGAACUGAGACACGGUCCAGACUCCUACGAGAGGCAGCAGUGGGGAAUAUGGGACAAUGGGCGCAAGCCUGGUCCAGCCAUACCGCGUGGGUGAAGAAGGCCUUCGGGUUGUGAAGCCCUUUUGUUGGGAAAGAAAAGCAGCAGGUUAAUACCCCGCUGUUCUGACGGUACCCAAAAAAUAAGCACCGGCUAACUUCGUG
rnacentral:rRNA from 1 species